GCGCCCGUAGUUCAAUGGAUAGAACAUUAGGUUGCGGACCUAAAAAUUAGAGGUUCGACUCCUCUCGGGCGCA
rnacentral:tRNA from 2 species